GGCCUUAUGGUCUAGUAGCAUGAUUCUUCCUUUGGGGUAACCUUUGGCUUACUUAAUGGAAGAGGUCCUGGGUUCAAUUCCCAGUGAGGCCC